CAGAGUUCUCGCCCUGACGGGUAGAUCUCCCACCCACUGUUAUCGUUACCGUCGUUGCUUUGGCGGGCCGCCAGGCCCGCCGGAGGCCCCCCAAACUCUGAAUGUUAGUGUCGUCUGAGUACUAUACAAUAGUUA
rnacentral:misc_RNA from 1 species